rnacentral:rRNA from 1 species
AGUGAACGCUGGCGGUAGGCCUAACACAUGCAAGUCGAACGGCAGCACAGUAAGAGCUUGCUCUUACGGGUGGCGAGUGGCGGACGGGUGAGGAAUACAUCGGAAUCUACUUUUUCGUGUGGGAUAACGUAGGGAAACUUACGCUAAUACCGCAUACGACCUACGGGUGAAAGCAUGGGAUCUUCGGACCUUGCGCGAUUGAAUGAGCCGAUGUCGGAUUAGCUAGUUGGCGGGGUAAAGGCCCACCAAGGCGACGAUCCGUAGCUGGUGUGAGAGGAGGGUAGCCCACAUGGGAAGGGAGCCGGGGACAAUGGCACGGGGGGAGGGACCAGGGGGAAAUGGGGGGCAGGGGGGGCGAACAUGGCACAACCAGCCGGGGUGGGAGGAAGCGACGUUGGGUGUGAAAUGACGUUUUGUGGGGAAAAAAAAGCAGGAGUUUGUCACCCAGCUUUAGUGACGGUAACAAAUAAAGAAGCACCGGCUAACUUCGUG